UACGGGGGGGACAAGCGUUGUUCGGAUUUAUUGGGCGUAAAGGGCGCGUAGGCGGACCUACAAGUCGGAUGUGAAAACCACGGGCUUAACCCGUGGCCUGCAUUCGAUACUGUAGGUCUUGAGUAUCGGAGAGGAGUGUGGAAUUCCAGGUGUAGCGGUGAAAUGCGUAGAUAUCUGGAAGAACACCGAUGGCGAAGGCAGCACUCUGGACGAAUACUGACGCUGAGGCGCGAAGGCUUGGGGAGCAAACAGG
rnacentral:rRNA from 1 species